UCCCAGGUAGCUCAGUGGUAAAGAAUGUGCCUGCCAAUGCAGGAGACCUGGGUUCGAUCCCCAGGUUGGGAA
rnacentral:tRNA from 1 species